rnacentral:rRNA from 1 species
GACGAACGCUGGCGGCGUGCCUAACACAUGCAAGUGGAGCGACGAACCAGGCUUCGGCCUGGGGCAGAGCCGCGAACGGGUGAGUAACACGUGGGUAACCUGCCCUGAUGAUUGGGACAACCCGAGGAAACUCGGGCUAAUACCAAAUGUGCCCUCCGACCAUAAGGUCGCUGGGGAAAGGAAGCUUCGGCCUCCGCAUCGGGAUGGGCCCGCGGCCCAUUAGCUUGUUGGUGAGGUAAUGGCUCACCAAGGCAACGAUGGGUAGCUGGUCUGAGAGGACGAUCAGCCACACUGGGACUGAGACACGGCCCAGACUCCUACGGGAGGCAGCAGUGGGGAAUCUUGCGCAAUGCGCGAAAGCGUGACGCAGCAACGCC